UACGAAUGGGGCUAGCGUUGCUCGGAAUUACUGGGCGUAAAGCGCACGUAGGCGGAUCUUUAAGUCAGGGGUGAAAUCCUGGAGCUCAACUCCAGAACUGCCUUUGAUACUGAGGACCUUGAGUUCGGGAGAGGUGAGUGGAACUGCGAGUGUAGAGGUGAAAUUCGUAGAGAUCCGGAGGAACACCAGUGGCGAAGGCGACACGCUGGGCCGUACCUGACACUGAUACGCGACAGCAUGGGGAGCGAACGGG
rnacentral:rRNA from 1 species